UAGGAGUCUGAAGUACACAUUCACUUUUA
rnacentral:piRNA from 1 species